GCUUAUGCUACAUAAUAUUUUUGCUGCAGGGUUGGGCCUGGUUAGUACUUAGAUGGGAGACCACCUAGGAAGACCAGGUGCUGUAGGCG
rnacentral:rRNA from 1 species